GACGAACGCUGGCGGCACGCUUAACACAUGCAAGUCGAACGAGAGAAGAGAAGCUUGCUUUUCUGAUCUAGUGGCGGACGGGUGAGUAACACGUGAGCAAUCUGCCUCUCAGAGGGGGAUACCGAUUGGAAACGAUCGUUAAUACCGCAUAAUAUAAUUGAACCGCAUGAUUUGAUUAUCAAAGAUUUAUCGCUGAAAGAUGAGCUCGCGUCUGAUUAGCUAGUUGGUAAGGUAACGGCUUACCAAGGCGACGAUCAGUAGCCGGACUGAGAGGUUGAUCGGCCACAUUGGGACUGAGACACGGCCCAGACUCCUACGGGAGGCAGCAGUGGGGAAUAUUGCACAAUGGAGGAAACUCUGAUGCAGCGAUGCCGCGUGAGGGAAGAAGGUUUUAGGAUUGUAAACCUCUGUCUUCAGGGACGAAAAAAGACGGUACCUGAGGAGGAAGCUCCGGCUAACUACGUGCCAGCAGCCGCGGUAAUACGUAGGGAGCGAGCGUUGUCCGGAAUUACUGGGUGUAAAGGGAGCGUAGGCGGGAUCGCAAGUCAGAUGUGAAAACUAUGGGCUUAACCCAUAAACUGCAUUUGAAACUGUGGUUCUUGAGUGAAGUAGAGGUAAGCGGAAUUCCUAGUGUAGCGGUGAAAUGCGUAGAUAUUAGGAGGAACAUCAGUGGCGAAGGCGGCUUACUGGGCUUUAACUGACGCUGAGGCUCGAAAGCGUGGGGAGCAAACAGGAUUAGAUACCCUGGUAGUCCACGCCGUAAACGAUGAUUACUAGGUGUGGGGGGACUGACCCCUUCCGUGCCGCAGCAAACGCAAUAAGUAAUCCACCUGGGGAGUACGACCGCAAGGUUGAAACUCAAAGGAAUUGACGGGGGCCCGCACAAGCAGUGGAGUAUGUGGAUUAAUUCGAAGCAACGCGAAGAACCUUACCAGGUCUUGACAUCGUAUGCAUAGCUCAGAGAUGAGUGAAAUCUCUUCGGAGACAUAUAGACAGGUGGUGCAUGGUUGUCGUCAGCUCGUGUCGUGAGAUGUUGGGUUAAGUCCCGCAACGAGCGCAACCCUUACUGUUAGUUGCUACGCAAGAGCACUCUAGCAGGACUGCCGUUGACAAAACGGAGGAAGGUGGGGAUGACGUCAAAUCAUCAUGCCCCUUAUGACCUGGGCCUCACACGUACUACAAUGGCUGUCAACAGAGGGAAGCAAAGCCGCGAGGUGGAGCGAACCCCUAAAAGCAGUCUUAGUUCGGAUUGUAGGCUGCAACCCGCCUACAUGAAGUCGGAAUUGCUAGUAAUCGCAGAUCAGCAUGCUGCGGUGAAUACGUUCCCGGGCCUUGUACACACCGCCCGUCACGCCAUGGGAGUCGGUAACACCCGAAGCCUGUAGUCUAACCGCAAGGAGGACGCAGUCGAAGGUGGGAUUGAUGACUGGGGUG
rnacentral:rRNA from 1 species